UACGGCAACAUCACGUUGAAACAUUGGUUCUUGUACGUUCACCGAAGUUAAGCAACGUCGUGCCUGGUCAGUAGCUAGAUGGGUGACCGCUUGGGAAUUCCAAGUUCUGUAA